AAAGUUAAGCACCUAAAUCAGGCACCGAAAUUUUCGUUUUUAUUCGAUCUCAUUACUACCGUUUACGUCCAAACCGUUGCCCCAUUGGCGCCGUGUUUCGGUACCCAACCC